AGAAGUGUCUGACUGUAAAUAGAAGCAUGCUUCUUUGUAUAAUUAAUGGGACUUCCUGGCCCCCUUCCCUUCUCACCUAGUACUAAAACUGAAAGAGGCACUGUACAGCUUGACGAAGAUUGAUAAGAGUCAAUACUGUCAACUGAACUGUUACUCGAAUCUCUAUGCCUUUGGAUCAGCAGUUAAGUCUAGCAAAAGAGCAACGUGACUGAAGCCAUCUCUAGCUGAUCUACACGAAGAGAUCCGAGGCAAGGAUAGGCUGUGCACGGAUUGUGACCGGAUGAUGGAAUGACUUGAAGUUAACCUUGGCGACUGAAAAAGAAUAGCUGGAAAAGACCAAGAUGCAGAGGAGGAAGACAGCGGGCAGAACCACCUGUUCUUUACAGCAGUGCAUUGCUCUGUAACUUCUUCCCACAGCUUUGCUACUGGCCGUUACCAGAGAGGGCCAUGCUGAAAUCUCUCCAGUGCAGAAGGGGAAAAUGGAAGGAAUGAAAUGACAUCAGAAGAGGAUGCUAAUCAUUUUAACUAGUUGGUCUGGAAGAUGUAAAAAGAAAACAAAUGCUAAUCCUGUUGUAGUUUCUGCAGCUGUAGCUGUGAUCAAGGAUUAACUGUAGAAAUAACCUAAGCUCUUAAUAAUUAAAAAGCAAAAGAGAUUACGUUGAUCCCUACUGGAACAUAGAUGCAAUCAGGGAUAGAAGUAAAGAUGAUGGUUUUUUUUCCUCCCUGGGUAUAAAUCUCAGAGCAGCAAAUUAAGGGCAGAAUAUCUGAGCUGUGCCACACCACACGAUCCAGGACGAGAUGCUCCAUUUCACACACUUGCCCUCCAGACGGACUGGUUUAGACAGUUGCUUCAAUUUGGCACAGGUCGCUAGCCAUUGCCAUGACAGCUGACUUUAGCAGUUCAAGGACCCUGUGGAUAUCAUGAUAAACAAACUGCUCCCAGAUUCACUUCUGUCACUUCCAGUUUGAUAUCAGAUUUCAGGCAAGGAUGGUUGGGGAGGGGAGAGGAGGGGAUGAGGUGGUUGGUGAUUGGAGGAAGAGUAUGUGCAGUACAAGAAUUUACCUGAGCAUUUGUUUAUGCUCAUUUGCUGAGAUAGGAAUCGAUACAGUUCUGGUAAUUGAGGGAAUCCGGGGAUAUAGAGCUAGUGCUAGAAAGUGGCGCUGGGAUUGAUCAUCAGCCAUGACUUUAUUCAAUGGCAAAGCAGGCGCAAGGGACUGAGUGGUCCUACCCUGCUCCUAUUUCUUGAGUUCUUGGCUCUGCAAUUCUUAUUAGUGGAAGAUUGGAGCUCUUUUGAGCUGUUAUUUAGAGUUCAUGAUUUCUAUGCAGCAAGGAACAAGGAAGUCCUUGGAUUUUUAAGGGAAAUUGUAUUUGAGUUUUAGUGAGAGCAAUGAUUUUAAUUUUGCAUUGCAUGUGUUUUUGUAAUAUCUGUUUCUCUGCUUAUUAAUUUCAAACUGUACAAAACUGUAUAUUUCUAUAUAUCAAUCCCUUUCUUAAAAACAAGUCUCAAUCUCUCACUGCUUGUAAACAGGACAUAUAUACAUACUCACACAAAAUAUAAA